UACAGAGGUCUCAAGCGUUGUUCGGAUUCAUUGGGCGUAAAGGGUGCGUAGGCGGCGCGGUAAGUCGGGUGUGAAAUCUCGGGGCUUAACUCCGAAACUGCAUUCGAUACUGCCGUGCUUGAGGACUGGAGAGGAGACUGGAAUUUGCGGUGUAGCGGUGAAAUGCGUAGAUAUCGUAAGGAAGACCAGUGGCGAAGGCGGGUCUCUGGACAGUUCCUGACGCUGAGGCACGAAGGCCAGGGGAGCAAACGGG
rnacentral:rRNA from 1 species